UCUACUAAAAAUUGUUUUAAACUUUAAAGAUUUUAAUUAGCUGGGUAUAAUUGUAGUUCAAAAAUAUUACUUCAGUAUAGUUUUUAUUCAUAUUGCCUAAACUCAAUUUAUUUCACCUGUACUUACAAAAUACUCAUGCAUAAUUUUUAAAUAUUAUUCUAAAUUGGUCCACUUGAUAAAGUCAUCAGUGUAACAAAGAAAUCACAUUAUAUAAGGAUGGACAAAGAGACUAUUAAAAGCAUGUACUGAACUUGUCACAAUCAAUGGUAUGCCAUUAAUAAUAUUUAAAGAUUCCGGCAUGCAAAAAAUUUUUAAACCCACAACACAAUCAAUUGGAAAUGAUUUUUCUAUUGACCCACUAAAUGUAAGGGUACAUGUUAUGGAUGAAGCAGAAAAAAUCAUGAACACUAUAAAAAAAAAACGAUAUAAAAAAUUGUCCAAUAUCAUAUAAAGAACAAAUUAGUUAUAAGGACAUUGGCUAUGUCUAAUUUGGAAAAACGUCACACCAGCGAUUACUUAAAAUCUGUGAUUGGUCCACUUGAUAAAGUCAUCAGUGUAACAAAGAAAUCACAUUAUAUAAGGAUGGACAAAGAGACUAUUAAAAGCAUGUACUGAACUUGUCACAAUCAAUGGUAUGCCAUUAAUAAUAUUUAUAGAUUCCGGCAUGCGAAAAAUUUUGAAACCCACAACACAAUCAAUUGGAAAUGAUUUUUCUAUUGACCCACUAAAUGUAAAGGUACAUGUUAUGGAUGAAGCAGAAAAAAUCAUGAACACUAUAAAAAAAAACGAUAUAAAAAAUUGUCCAAUAUCAUAUAAAGAACAAAUUAGUUAUAAGGACAUUGGCUAUGUCUAAUUUGGAAAAACGUCACACCAGCGAUUACUUAAAAUCUGUGAUUGGUCCACUUGAUAAAGUCAUCAGUGUAACAAAGAAAUCACAUUAUAUAAGGAUGGACAAAGAGACUAUUAAAAGCAUGUACUGAACUUGUCACAAUCAAUGGUAUGCCAUUAAUAAUAUUUAUAGAUUCCGGCAUGCGAAAAAUUUUGAAACCCACAACACAAUCAAUUGGAAAUGAUUUUUCUAUUGACCCACUAAAUGUAAGGGUACAUGUUAUGGAUGAAGCAGAAAAAAUCAUGAACACUAUAAAAAAAAAC